UAUAAUUCUUACAUCACACAUGAUUUGCUUAUUCUCAUUAAAAGAAUUAAUGAUUUGUGUGAUGAGGCUUGGCCAAAUUAAUUCUUCAAUCAGGAGGACAGUCAACCCAGAAGAUCUGAUUGUGGACUUGAAGCUUAGAGAAUUAUAGAGGCAACGAUGCUUCUAAUGAAGUGGCGAGGGACAGAGGAAACAGACUUAGUAGCAGCAAGGCAGACAAAUGUUCGUUGUCCACAAGUUGUCAUCACUCCUCAGCAAAUGGUUAGGAAGAAGGCAAUCAUGAGGCCAAUUUGAUUUUAUUUCUUUCUUCAGUUAGGCAGUUAUCUAAUGGAUCUUAAUGGUGUACUAUUUUGUAUUUAGUUAACUCAUCAACUGAGUUUAAAGUAUAGGAGUAGGAUCAUCUGAUAAUCAGUUCCAGGAGUCAUUUUUAUAUCAAGUCAUGAUGUUGCUUUUCCUUUGUUUUGCAAGUAGAGUAUUUGUAAUGGGCCUGAAAAUAUUUUUUUAUUUUUAAGUGUGGAAUAGAGAAUCUACAACCAUUUCCCUUAAGGGUCCAUGCCAUGUGUUAUUAUUUUUUUUUCUCUCUUUUUUUUAGUAAAUAAAGAGAAAUUGAC